rnacentral:rRNA from 1 species
ACGGGUGCGGAACACGUACGCAACCUUCCUCUAAGCGGGAGAUAGCCCGGAGAAAUCCGGAUUAAUACCCCAUAGGAUUGUGGAUUGGCAUCAAUCAGCAAUUAAAGAUUUAUCACUUAGAGAUGGGCGUGCGUCUGAUUAGGUAGUUGGUGAGGUAACGGCUCACCAAGCCGACGAUCAGUAACUGGCGUGAGAGCGCGACCAGUCACACGGGCACUGAGACACGGGCCCGACUCCUACGGGAGGCAGCAGUAAGGAAUAUUGGUCAAUGGACGCAAGUCUGAACCAGCCAUGCCGCGUGGAGGAUGAAGGUCCUCUGGAUUGUAAACUUCUUUUAUCUGGGAAGAAAUGCUUUUUUUCUAAAGAGCUUGACGGUACCAGAUGAAUAAGCACCGGCUAACUCCGUGCCAGCAGCCGCGGUAAUACGGAGGGUGCAAGCGUUAUCCGGAUUCACUGGGUUUAAAGGGUGCGUAGGCGGAUUAGAAAGUCCGUUGUGAAAUCUCUGAGCUUAACUCGGAAAUUGCGGUGGAUACUAUUAAUCUUGAAUACUGUGGAGGUUAGCGGAAUAUGUCAUGUAGCGGUGAAAUG